UUCCAGUCAUUUUUCUAAGUGCGUCAUUUAAAAUCACACUCGGUUUCGGUUCUCACCACGAGCCCAGGCCGAGCCCGGGCCGCGCUCGGGGCGGACGCUCCGGCUUUGGGCCGCCUGUGCUGAAAGCGCACGGUGGGAAGGGAAGCGUGAGGGAAAGGAGCGGAGAAAGGAGCGGGGGAAGGUAGAACGCACCCAGACGCGUCGGGGAGGUCUCUACAGCAAACAGCCAUCUGAAAUUCAGUACUCCCUAGAAAGUUGUCUGGGAACCAGACAGAAAACAAGCAUGAUUCAAAGUAAAGCCUUUUCCGUGAAGACUCCUGGAACCGUUUGCUCACGCAACUUUUCCCUUACAGAAGGGCCAGACUACCCAGCACAAGACAUUUGAUAUUUUUAUUCCCCAAGAUGAAAGGGUGGUUGAACAAAGUACUGCAUAAUUCAUGAUGUGGGUGAAAUACAUUAAGCCCUGUUUUAACAGCUGCCUAAAUAUCUAAAAAGGAGGAGAUACUCAUUGUAGAGUGACAGCAUGAGAAGUAAAAAGCUGAUUCUCCAUGAUGUCGUUCACAGUUGACUGCAAUUCCACCCUGUAUACAUGUACAUUUCUUCUUUCCAAAUAAAGGCCUCCUGCUGUAUGUGAGGAAUGCUAUUCCUACUCAGAAUGUCAGUGCAAGUUCCAUCAUCUUCCUCAAGACCUGAACACACAAUCUCUUUGCAGAGAAGGACAGGAUUAUUCACAUGUGCAGACCUAAUACUACUUAGGUGUUUUGGUAAAUGAGGUGUUGGUCACUGUGCCUGAUCUGUGUCAGCAUGAAACAUCACAAAGUGCAAGGCUGCCUCCCAAGGUGUGGACACUGGUCAAGGUGAUGCAAGGUUUGACUUUCACGCAAAAAGUAAAUAAAGACUUUACUGAAAUUCUGAUAAUUUUCACUGCUUUUACUGAAGAGUUACCUACAAUGACAAGGUCUGGUUGAUGCCACCAGUUGCCACAUGAAGAUGAUUUUUGAGGC